UCUAUAGGUCCGGAGGGGUCCCUAUAGGUCUGAGGGGGUCCCUAUAGGUCCGGGUGGGUCCCUAUAGGUCCAGGGGGGUCUCUAUAGGUCCCUAUAGGUCCGGGGGGGUCUCUAUAGGUCCAGAAGGGUCCCUAUAGGUCCAGGGGGGUUUCUCUAGGUCUGGGGGGUCCCUAUAGGUCCCAGGGGGGUCUCUAUA